rnacentral:lncRNA from 1 species
UCCACACGCACCAUUGCUUGCGCUGCUUUUACAAGCAGCACUAUGUUCCACCUCCAUUGCUUCCUGUUCAUUAGAUGAUGUUAAAUCAAUAACACGAUUCUAAAAAGAAAAAGAAAAUAAAUAAACAGUUAAGAUAAUGUUUACGGUGAGGCGUCCGUUUGGCUGUGCGGGAUGUGUUAAGUUCGCAGUCACGUCCGGUCAGAUUGGUGACGUUAAAUUCGAUGCCUCGUGUAAAGAAAGUGCCACGCUCUUUGCACGUUAAGAACUCUUGCAACAACUCUUUGAGGGGUCCGUAGGUGGCCUGUUGCAAGGCAAAAUUUCUGUCCCUGUCCAAUAUACCCUCAUUUUCCAGUGCCAGUCCAAAUUUCCCCGACCAUCAUCCCAG